GAUGAAGAACGCAGUGAAAUGCGAUACGUAAUGUGAAUUGCAGAAUUCAGUGAAUCAUCGAGUCUUUGAACGCACAUUGCGCCCUCUGGUAUUCCGGAGGGCAUGCCUGUCCGAGCGUCAUUGCUGCCCUCAAGCACGGCUUGUGUGUUGGGCCCCGCCCCCCGAUCCCGGGGGGCGGGCCCGAAAGGCAGCGGCGGCACCGCGUCCGGUCCUCGAGCGUAUGGGGCUUUGUCACCCGCUCUGUAGGCCCGGCCGGCGCCUGCCGAUCAACCAAACUUUUUUCCAGGUUGACCUCGGAUCAGGUAGGGAUACCCGCUGAACUUAAGCAUAUCAAUAAAGCGGAGGA
rnacentral:misc_RNA from 1 species